rnacentral:rRNA from 1 species
UUUCGAAUCAUUCACAAUGGGCGAAAGCCUGAUGGUGCGACGCCGCGUGAGGGAUGAAGGUCUUCGGAUUGUAAACCUCUGUCACCGGGGAAGAAACGCUUUGAGCUAAUAGUUCAAAGCCUGACUUAACCCGGAGAGGAAGCAGUGGCUAACUCUGUGCCAGCAGCCGCGGUAAUACAGAGACUGCGAGCGUUAUUCGGAUUCACUGGGCGUAAAGGGUGCGCAGGCGGCCAAGUGUGUGAGGCGUGAAAGCCCGAGGCUUAACCUCGGAAUUGCACCUCAAACUACAUGGCUAGAGUACUGGAGAGGGUAACGGAAUUCACGGUGUAGCAGUGAAAUGCGUAGAUAUCGUGAGGAACACCAGAGGCGAAGGCGGUUACCUGGACAGUUACUGACGCUCAGGCACGAAAGCGUGGGGAGCAAAAGGGAUUAGAUACCCCCGUAGUCC